GUGUGCAUAGCUCAGUGGUUAGAGACUCCCUCUGGAUUGAGGCAGUCAUGGGUUUGAAUCCCAUUGCACACA
rnacentral:tRNA from 1 species